rnacentral:rRNA from 1 species
AACGAACGCUGGCGGCAUGCCUAACACAUGCAAGUCGAACGAGACCUUCGGGUCUAGUGGCGCACGGGUGCGUAACGCGUGGGAAUCUGCCCCUCGGUUCGGAAUAACACAGAGAAAUUUGUGCUAAUACCGGAUAAUGACUUCGGUCCAAAGAUUUAUCGCCGAGGGAUGAGCCCGCGUAAGAUUAGCUUGUUGGUGGGGUAAUGGCCUACCAAGGCGACGAUCUUUAGCUGGUCUGAGAGGAUGAUCAGCCACACUGGGACUGAGACACGGCCCAGACUCCUACGGGAGGCAGCAGUGGGGAAUAUUGCACAAUGGGCGAAAGCCUGAUGCAGCAACGCCGCGUGAGCGAGGAAGGCCUUUGGGUCGUAAAGCUCUGUCGAGGAGGAAGAUAAAUGACGGUACUCCUCGAGGAAGCCCCGGCUAACUACGUGCCAGCAGCCGCGGUAAGAGUCACGUCG